AACACUUUGUUAAGGGCCAACCACUAUCAC
rnacentral:piRNA from 1 species